GCUGGAAAAUGCCUCCCCCGCUCCAACUCCUAGUGGAUGCCGGAGGCGGCGGCGGCGGCAUGGCGCUGCUGGAGGAUCACGGCGGUCGCCAUGGCGCUGCUCGCCGCCUCCGACCAUAGCUAUUGAUCCUGCCCCCUUCCUCACACUCUUCGUGAUGCCGAGCAGGGCAAGAUGCCCGGGUGUGCCUCCCUCAGCCCCUCCCCUCCCCAACCUCCCUUCCCCUCUCCUCCAGCGUCCCGAAGGCCCGCGAGCCCCACUGGCAGGCCAGCCGCGCAGGACCGCCCGUCCAAUGCUCCCGCAUGCGGCUAGGGGUCGGCGCGCGCGGAGUAUGGACCCGGCGUGGCUCUGGCCGCGGGGGAGCAGCGUGGCUCCGGCCGCUCGAGCCGUCACGCCGCCGUACUUGCGCUCUCUAUCCUCCAUCGUAGGCUUCCCCACUCCAUCCUUCCCCUUCCCAAAAAUCUAGCUAUCUCCUUCCUUCUCCUGACCCAUGGAAAUUCUUAGAUUUGGCAUGGCUGCCUCUGUGCCUGUGCAAAAUCUGAAAGAGAUCGCGUCAGAAUCGAGGUUGUCUCCCUGUCCAAGUAGGUCCGGCCGAUCUCUCGCGCCGUUGCGCUCCGCCGCCGUCUCGCCGUGCGGGAUGUCUCCUCCUUAAUGCCGUUGCGCUCCCCGCAUCUUUUGAGGCCUACGCUCGGUUUGGUUCCUCUGUUCAAUAUUUUUGUUUUUUCCCGUGAUCUAUAUAAUGCAUGCUAUUUGCGUAUUGACUAUAGAGCUAUUGGUAGCAGGUGUUAGCAACCUUCUUUUCUUUUCUCACUCUAUCUAGCUGUCCUUUGUUCUCAUACAUGUUUUGGUUGCACCAAAUACAUGUUUGUGAAUGUGAAAUUUCAGGUUAUCUAACACACACUGUAUUUAUGACUUAUGUUAAGAAGACCUGUUAGUUUAGAGAUUAGUUUGCUAUUUACUCUCGAGGGUUGGAGUCCUGUGUUUGAUUUUUUGAAACGGAUAAUUUUUUUUUUGAAACAGAGAGUCCUGUGUUUGAUUGAUUCUACUUCACAUAAACUUGUCACAUUAUCUACAGUCAAUUACCCUUACUUCUUCGAUACUAUGAAAACGAUAUAGCAUACCAUUGUAGAUGCUGCCUGUGCUUCUUUCCGCUAUAGCUGAUGCUGAUAUAAAUGCUCCUAGCUUCAUACCCCUUGCAUAAUUUUGCUGGCAGUUUGUGUCAUGUACUCUUGAUGUUGUCAUUUCAGGAGCUGAUUCUGAAAGCUGUGAUUCUUAACACCUAUAUGGUUAAGACAUAUUGCUUUCUGCACAACAACGUCCAUCUUCUUUCAAAUCUAAUUUUUUACUGAACAUUUACUAUUCCUAUACUGUUUGAUCGAUACUCCUAGAAUGAAUAUUUCAAUUUCAGGAUGUAAUGGCUACAAGCAGAGCCUAUGGCCCUCCUGAUCUUUUCUGGGAAAUGAAGCUGCUAAGCCAAUGUUGUGUGGCCCAUCUUGAAGAAUUUAGUCCACUAAACUACAUAUACAAGGUUGCCGUUGCUGCUUAAUCUGCUUUUAGAUCUGAGAUUAUGCUGGCUGCUGCUACCUGACAGAAACAGAUCUGCGGGAGACGCCGAUGCCACUGUUUAGAAAUCAAUCUAAUCCUCCGUUGUUCUGCACGUUACCUAUCAGCUUGCUCAGGAGAGAAGCCAGAUGAAAAUGUUGAUGGGGCCUUUCCUAUUUCUUGCCAGGGUCUUUACUUUUAAGAAACAGUUCAGAACAGUGAUUCUCCCUGAUUUUAUAAAAAUCCAUCGGGGUCGGCCGACCCUGACGCAACCACGCAGCUCCGCCCCUGAGCUUGCAACUUUUAUGCUCUUGCAUUCCUUUGUUUUCACAUUUUAUAAGGCUACCUCCUACCCAUUUUCACUUUUGCAUUAUCUGCUUCACGGUGCAAGAUUGCCUGCUCCGGCGAGAAAGAAACCUGAGUUACAAAUCUCUACUAGAUCGACUAUAUCAUUCCAGAUUAGGAAGAAGAAAUAGAUCCAUAUGUGGUGAGGGAAUGCAACCGAGCUGUAUUUGAAGCUGAAAUAGAAGAUGAAAAAAAAAACAACCCUCCUACCUUCAACGGCUUCACAUAUUCAGAUGAAACUUCCGAUGAUGAUGACCCAAAUGAAGCGUACUACUAUGCAGACUCAGAUCGUGAGCCGAAAAACUGGUAAUUUGAUGCAUCAGGCUUCUAAGGCCUAACAGAUAUCUGAAGAUCUACACUCAUCAAGAAAAUGGGAACAUCGCUCCCAAAUCUCCAACUCAUCGUCUGCCAUCUAGUAGUUUUAUUUGCCUACAGCUAUUUACGUAGUGUGUGUACGUACCCGAACUGCAAACCUUGCUUAUAUAUUAUCUGACUACUUAUGUAAUAUAUUCGCAUGGGCUGAACACUCCGCAAUGAAUUUACUCCUCCGUGUUACGAAAACUCUACAAACCUUACUUCUCUUGGUAAUCCAUCAUGGUCUAGUGACA